rnacentral:rRNA from 1 species
UACAGAGGUCUCAAGCGUUGUUCGGAUUCAUUGGGCGUAAAGGGCGCGUAGGCGGCCUUCUAAGUCGAACGUGAAAUCCCUGGGCUCAACCCAGGAACUGCGUCCGAUACUGGAAGGCUUGAAUCCGGGAGAGGGAUGCGGAAUUCCAGGUGUAGCGGUGAAAUGCGUAGAUAUCUGGAGGAACACCGGUGGCGAAGGCGGCAUCCUGGACCGGUAUUGACGCUGAGGCGCGAAAGCCAGGGGAGCGAACAGG